GCUCCGCCUGCGGUACGUGCUCCCGCCUCCGACUCAAAAUGCCUGUCUGGGGAGGUGGAAACAAGUGUGGGGCCUGUGGGAGGACCGUGUACCACGCAGAAGAGGUGCAGUGUGAUGGCAGGAGCUUCCACCGCUGCUGCUUUCUCUGCAGUAAGUAGCUCCACAUGCUCCACCUUUGACGGAAUUUGUAUGUA
rnacentral:sRNA from 1 species